UCAAAAGUCCCAUUAAUACAACCACGUCCAAAAGUCCCAUUAAUACAACAUGUAACAGAAUAUUGUAAUCGUACAGUGUCCGCCUGUCCGGUUAGGUUCAUAGCCAUUGUACAAAAGUCAGGAGCUUGGUCUUUCCUUGCUGCAAUUGGGAAAUCAAAAUAGGUUAAUUCAUACGAUAAUUUACAUUUUGUAAAUAUACACAAACAACUCAGGCAAUUUUGCAAACUCUAGGCUCAGAUAUCAACGACGUAGUCGUAUACAUAGAAUAUGAUGGAUUUAUAUUACGAAAGAGCAUUUCACAACGCAAACUUUGAUAAGAGAUUUUGGGCUUGGAAAUCAGAAAGCAGAGGAUUCAGGAGUAUGUAAAGAAGAGGAAACAUUUACAGCAUUUUACAAACUUUAGAACAUGCAGCUACAGACAGCAACCACGUGAUGUUACUGCUGAAAAUGAUAGAGCAAACUAUUGUAGAUUAACACAUACCUCAGGAUUUGGGGGUUGGACUGUUGGGAGCAUGCAUAUAAUUUCAGAAAUCAGCACCCU
rnacentral:lncRNA from 1 species